GUCAAAUACAAGCGUUGGUAUGUUAGGGUGUAUUAUGUUUUUAUGUCACACUGGAACAUUGUAGUCAAAGUCAAAAAGAAGUAUCUAGUUUGAUUUGUGACGAACUGCGGUAGUUCGCACGCAACUACUGGGCUCCUGAAAUUCUAUCGUGAUAAACAAAAAUUUAAUUAAAAGGAAGAAAACCAAAAUAUAUCCAAUUAAAUAAUAUCAGACGGUGACACUCGGGCGUCACCAGAAGAUUCAAAAACCCUGCUUCUGGUCAAGGUCCGCGGUAGCGAUCGGUGUCGGAAGCUCCAGGUGAACUCAAUCAGAGUAAACGGCAGCUCCGGGAAUCAGACGAAUUCAGCAAAUGGUGGCGGUCACUACGGAAGAACCAACACAAAAUUACGGCAACUUCCCUAGGGAAGUUGCCGGGAAUGAAAGAAACAAAACACAAAGUAAUUAGCGGUAUCUA